AGUGAACGCUGGCGGCAGGCCUAACACAUGCAAGUCGAGCGGCAGCGGGCUGUAGCAAUACAGUGCCGGCGAGCGGCGGACGGGUGAGGAAUACAUCGGAAUCUACCUUGUCGUGGGGGAUAACGUAGGGAAACUUACGCUAAUACCGCAUACGACCUACGGGUGAAAGCGGGGGAUCGCAAGACCUCGCGCGAUUAGAUGAGCCGAUGUCCGAUUAGCUAGUUGGCGGGGUAAUGGCCCACCAAGGCGACGAUCGGUAGGGGAUCUGAGAGGACUAACCCCCCACACUGGUACUGAGACACGGACCAGACUCCUACGGGAGGCAGCAGUAAGGAAUAUUGGUCAAUGGAGGCAACUCUGAACCAGCCAUGCCGCGUGCAGGAUGACGGCCCUAUGGGUUGUAAACUGCUUUUAUACAAGAGAAAACCCUGGUACGUGUACCAGGUUGAUAGUAUUGUAAGAUAAGCAUCGGCUAACUUCGUGCCAGCAGCCGCGGUAA
rnacentral:rRNA from 1 species